rnacentral:rRNA from 1 species
UUUUUGAUUAAUAAUUUAAAGUCUAAUCUGCCCACUGAUAAUAUAUUAAAGGGCUGCAGUAUUUUGACUGUACAAAGGUAGCAUAAUCAUUAGUCUCUUAAUUGGUGACUUGUAUGAAAGAUUUAAUGAGAUAUAUACUGUCUCUUUUUGAUUUAUAAAAUUUAAUUUUUUAGUUAAAAAGCUAAAAUGUAUUUAAAAGACGAGAAGACCCUAUAGAGUUUUAUAUUUAUUAAAUUUAAAAUUUUUUAUAAGAUUUAAAAUUUUAAUUUUAAUAAAUAUUUUGUUGGGGUGACAAAAAAAUUAAAAAAACUUUUUUUAUAAAUUUACAUUAAUAAGUGAAUAAAUGAUCCGUAAUUUACGAUUAAAAGAAAAAAUUACCUUAGGGAUAACAGCGUAAUUUUUUUUUUUAGUUCAAAUAAGAAAAAAAGUUUGCGACCUCGAUGUUGGAUUAAGAUAAAAUUUAAAUGUAAAAGUUUAAAAUUUUUGAUCUGUUCGAUCAUUAAAAUCUUACA